AACGAACGCUGGCGGCAUGCCUAACACAUGCAAGUCGAACGAGGCCUUCGGGUCUAGUGGCGCACGGGUGCGUAACGCGUGGGAACCUGCCCUUAGGUUCGGAAUAACUCCCCGAAAGGGGUGCUAAUACCGGAUAAUGUCUUCGGACCAAAGAUUUAUCGCCAUUGGAUGGGCCCGCGUUGGAUUAGCUAGUUGGUAGGGUAAAAGCCUACCAAGGCGACGAUCCAUAGCUGGUCUGAGAGGAUGAUCAGCCACACUGGGACUGAGACACGGCCCAGACUCCUACGGGAGGCAGCAGUGGGGAAUAUUGGACAAUGGGCGAAAGCCUGAUCCAGCAAUGCCGCGUGAGUGAUGAAGGCCUUAGGGUUGUAAAGCUCUUUUGCCCGGGAUGAUAAUGACAGUACCGGGAGAAUAAGCUCCGGCUAACUCCGUG
rnacentral:rRNA from 1 species